UCUCUCUCUCUCUCUCUCUCUCUCUCUCUCUCUCUCUCUCUCUCUCUCUCACACACACACACACACACACACACACACACAGAUACACAUAAAUAAAAACUAAUUUUUAAAAUUCUGUGUCCCUCUCCUCUAAGCGCCUAUCUGUUCAGACAAGAAGGAAAUGUGGCAAUGACUCCCUUAACGACAUCAGCCAACACCAGAUCAUGCGUUCCUUGAUCGCAGCCAGUGAGUGGGAUCCACAGACUCGGCUUCUCAUAGGCUGUGGCACAACAAGGAGAAGAGAUCCUCGCAGUCCCCAGCCCCACACCUCAAGCUCACCUGGGGGAGGAGUGCUAGGUAGCCGCACCAGCCCAACCAGCUCAUCUGCUGUGCUUCCAUGGGAUGAACCAAGCCAGAAGCCAGGGGGUCCAGGAAGCCCAUUAAUGCAGAGGGCAGGUGGAAGAUGUCACUACACACAGAGUGGUUCCUCCCUCCAAGAUGCCAGCCCUGAGCCAGGCCAACCUGCAUGCCGCUACAAAGCAAGUGAAGAAAGGACUGAGGUCAGAGGGAGCCAGUCCUGCUCCCUCCCCUCAGGGCUGGAGUACAAGCUGAGGCAACCUGCUUCUCUGCCAGCCCAGGGAGCAAUGGAGGCUGACAAGGAGGGAAGUGGAAAGGCAGGAUGUUCGCUAUAAUUAUUUUCAUUGAUUUGUCUACUCAGAUCCCAAGUGCUGCGAUGCCGUUGUGACAUUUAAUAAAAAUAAUUCAAGGUAGAGGAUCUCCAGGAUCCAGUCUGACUCAGCAGAGUUCAGGAAGCAGGGAAGGAAACUGAACCGGGAUCCCGGGCCCUCCUAGCUUACUUACUGAGUCCUGAGAGCACCAUCCCAGGCUGUCAGAGGCAGAUGUAAUCAGGGUGACCUCGCCUUUUUCACAGAUUCAUUAAAGUCUGUGUUCUGGGGUAAAUGAUUGCUUUCCCCUGGUCCUGCUGAAGAAAAAAAAAAAUCGAUCACCUCCUUGUAGAUUUAGAAUGGGACAAUUGGCAAUUAGAAAACAUUUCCCCCGGGCAGGCACUGGGGAUGGGGGCUUGAGAUGCUUCCCAAGUGUUCUGUCCGUAGCACAACCUGGCCAGGCCUCCUGGCUUGCAGCAGACUGGAGAAGCCUUGAGUUGGGUCCGGGGACACAGCUGGGGAUCCACCUGUGUCCCAGGGAUUCUAAGUUCCAUCUCAGCUUGCUGUUGGGACCUCCUUGAAGCGUCCAGUCCUCCUCCCCCCCCCCCCCACACACUCAUCCCUGCCUGGUGACUAAUGGAUUUUCCUCUGUACUGCGAGAUUUACUAAACAACUGAACUAGGACGCAUUAAGUCUGUGGGUUUGGAGGUUUGUUUUAGAGCAAUUCUCGCCCGGAGAACUGGCUGCUGAAAUUAAGAUGCAUUCUUCUCAGCAAAUAUUGAUUUCAACUCGAAGCAAAUCCGAGAAGCUGCUUGCUGGAUUUAAGCUCUGGCAGCUGUACUGUGGACCGAAAGAGGGGUCACCAAGGUGCUCCCCACUAGAGAGGCCCAGAAAACAAGGCAAUAGAGAAAACAUAGUCAAAGCAGAGCUAGAAAGUACCAUAAGGCCAACCAAACAGAAACUCAUUUGGAGACUCGCAAGUCUAUUACCAAAUGGGGAGGGUGACCAUUGGCCCAUAUAUUAUGGCCACACCAGGUAUGCAUACUUCUGGUGAGAUGGAAUCCACACAGCUGUAACUUGACUCUUGGGCUUCCCUUCAAGCUGGACCCUGAGGUACCCUCCCUCCCAGAAUCUUAGCUUAACUAACUUUGUCUUCCCUCUGUUUCCUCCAGGGUUUCAAGCCACUAGGACAGCCGCGUGUAUCUUCUCUCCCUCAAAUGUUCCUGCCUUCCUCCCUUUCUCUCCCAAACCCUAUCAGGGACGAGGACCACAGCUUGCACAGUCCCUAAGGUCUACAGUAACAAGAUCUUGGGAACUUGGAAAAUCAAAUUAGUUGGUAGAAGUUCUUGAUCUAAUUCGCCAGCCUUCUAGUUGUAAGAUGUCUGCAAAGCACUUCCUCUCUGGGCCUCCUUUUUAAGAAGCAGAAAAUGGGAUUGGACCAGACAGCCUGGAAGAAUUUUCUCAGGGGGACAUAAGAAGACAUUAGAGAGGACCACAGCAUUCAGCAAGAUCAGGCUGUAGGGGAAAUCUACAAGCCUGAGAAACUAUAGAUUAAAGAAGAUGUAAGAGAUGUGCCAGUUGGCCAGGCUGAAAAGACCAUGUGAUUUCUCAUAGUGACAGGCAAAAAUGAAAAAGGAAAAGUCUAUGAGGCCACCAGGAGUAUUUCAGAAUGGGCUAGUUAUUUGGCAAAACUGAGGAAUUACUGUUCACUUUUUGGUAUACGUAUCAAUCACUACUGCUGCAUUAAAAGCCACCCCAAACUCAAUAGCUUAAAGGAACAAUUGUUUUGUUCUUUCAGGAUUCUGUGAGUCACAUACAUUAAGCAGACAUCAGCUGGGCUGGUUCGUGUCUAUCCUACAUAGUGUGGUAUGAUCUUGCAUAGAUAUAGAGCCUCAACAGUGGUGGCUCUAUUAUGUAAAGUUUUAUGUUUACUAUUUAUUGAUGCGCACGCACGCACACAGACACAGACACACA